rnacentral:rRNA from 1 species
AACGAACGCUGGCGGCAUGCCUAACACAUGCAAGUCUAACGAGACCUUCGGGUCUAGUGGCGCACGGGUGCGUAACGCGUGGGAACCUGCCCUUAGGUUCGGAAUAACUCCCCGAAAGGGGUGCUAAUACCGGAUAAUGUCUUCGGACCAAAGAUUUAUCGCCUUUGGAUGGGCCCGCGUUGGAUUAGCUAGUUGGUAGGGUAAAAGCCUACCAAGGCGACGAUCCAUAGCUGGUCUGAGAGGAUGAUCAGCCACACUGGGACUGAGACACGGCCCAGACUCCUACGGGAGGCAGCAGUGGGGAAUAUUGGACAAUGGGCGAAAGCCUGAUCCAGCAAUGCCGCGUGAGUGAUGAAGGCCUUAGGGUUGUAAAGCUCUUUUACCCGGGAUGAUAAUGACAGUACCGGGAGAAUAAGCGCCGGCUAACUCCGUG